CUCGACCCGAUGUAGCUUUUGCCUUGAGCAUGGUUAGCAGGUAUCAGGCGAACCCUGGCAAGGCACACUGGACUGCGGUAAAGAAUAUCCUCAAGUACCUACGGAGGACUAAGGACUGGGUCCUUACCCUCGGUGGGAGUGAUGACUUGAGAGUUGUAGGGUAUAGUGAUGCUAGCUUCCAGACUGAUAGGGAUAAUUUCCGCUCUCAGUCGGGCUGGGUCUUUACCCUAAACGGAGGAGCAAUUUCUUGGAAGAGUUCCAAGCAAGAGACAGUGGCAGAUUCUACUUGUGAAUCAGAGUAUAUUGCAGCUAGCGAAGCAGCAAAGGAGGCGAUAUGGCUGAAGAACUUCAUUGGAGACCUUGGAGUUGUACCAGCUAUUAAAGAGCCAAUGGAAAUUUUCUGUGAUAGUGAAAGUGCUGUUGCCUUAGCCAAGGAACCAAGGGAUCAUGGGAGAUCCAGACACAUCGACAGAAAAUACCAUUUCAUUAGACAUCGGAUCGAAGAAGGACUCCUCGUGGCAAAGAGGGUAUCAUCGGAUGAGAACCCAGCAGAUCCCCUCACGAAGGGACUGAGUAGGGUUAAGCAUCUCCAGCAUGCUCGGAGCAUAGGGCUGAAGGAUGAUAUAAGUUUUAGUAGUUAGAUAACCCAGAAAUUUGUAAAGUGUAAUUGACAUUUGAUGAUGAAUAAAAGGUGUUUUAUUUAUGAGUAAAGUGUUGCUAUCUCUUGUCAAUCGUUUACUAUAUUUCUUUUGCAUGUUUUGACUUCCAGAAUAAUUUUGUUUGGUGUAACAUAUUAUUCAAACCUCCACAGUCGGUCAUAUGUCGGAAGUAGGUAUGAAUCAAGACUGUCAUGAUGGGUUGUAGAGGUCUAAGGUGUUGGACAAGGCUACAACAAUCAUGAGUGCUCAUAAGUUCUGAGCAUUGGACUCAACCCACGCUCACUGGAAUCACUUCAUGGAAUUCUAUCUCGAGUGAUCGUGAGACGGUAAUAUCAUAUAAGUCUUCAAACCUAGAGAUAUGAUUUGUUACUUACAAGUUGGUUAUGCAUUGACUGUACGAAACCGCAUUGGUAACUCGAUGUUAUAAAACGUACUUUUGUGUGUAAUUCAAUGAGUGGUAGAACAAACAUAUGAGUCGAAGUUUAUCUGUUCCUUCUUGGAUUAGAAGCUGAUAUCUGGGCCCCUCGAUGAUUUUGUUUUGACCCAUGUACCGGGCCCGGUCAGAACUAAGUUGAUGUGUUCAAUUAAGUUCUAUGUCAAACAAAUCGGAAAUCGGGAAACAAAUGCUGGACAAUAAGCAAGACAAUGUUCCAUGUAUUUGUCCGGCUGAUAUCUAGAACGGAGGAUUAUAUGAUCACUUAUCUUAAAUGGCGUACCAUCAUCUUCUCAGUUCCGAGAGACCUUGAAAGAGCUACGAUUGCCGGUCGGUUCCUGAAGUACUAGAGAUAUAGUUAUUAGACUUAUCCAAGUGGGAGACUGUUGGAUAAGGUGUCUAAGUCCAUAACUAUUUCGGGCUUGUACUUGACCCGACCCGGCAUGGUCCAUUUGGGUUGCAUGGCACCAUGCAAUUGGAUAGACUAAAUGAGAGAAAUAACACUUGGAGAUUAUUAAUAUAUUAUAAGUUCUAAUAUAUUAAUAAUAUUAUUUGAUUAGUUGAUCAAAGAAUUAAUUUGGAAUUAAUUAAGUGAUCAAAGGAUAACUAAUUAAAUAUAUGGGUUGAUUAUGUAAAUCAUCCAUAUCUUGUAUAGUGGGCUAAGAGGCUCCAUGGAUUAUCAAGUUGGGUUCUACCCAUAGGAUGCUCCAUGGAUGCUCCAUGGGAGUUACAAACCCAUGGGUCAUGGAAAUGAAGAGUCAUGACACAUUAGGGUUUACAUGGUGUAACCCUAGAUGUGUCAACACUAUAUAAGAAUCAUAUUCUCCACCAAAAUCGGCUACACUAAGAAACUAGAGGGCUUGGCCGAUUUUGAGAAGUGUGUGUUAUCUCAAGAGUCUUUCCAAGAGCAUUUGGUGUUGUGUGAAGCAUUUGAGGCAUCACACUUGGGGUGCUAGGCUCACAAGGUUUCAAGGAACACAAGCAACAACAAGGUAAGUUAUUCUAUCUAUGAUUCAAGUUAAAAUUGUUCCCCAUGUAUGCUAGAUAGGAAUAUAACCUUGGAAUUCAACUUUGCAUGAUAAUUAGACAAACAUAGAUCCAAGGUUAUUAGGGUUGCAUGUACACUUAGGAAGUGUUAGAAUGCUCAAAACCCAUCAGUGGUAUCAGAGCCUAGGCUUGUUUGUUUGUUAUUUGUGCUUAAAAGUUGAAGAAAGUCGAAAAUCUUGCUGUCUGACUGAUGGACUCGGCGAGUCCAUGGGGAGGACUCGUCGAGUUCAUGUGUAUCUUCAACCUACUCGGCGAGUAGGUUUAUGCACUCGGCGAGUAGGGUCGACAGAGUGCAGAAUUUCGACUUGAGUUGCUGGAAAUGGAUUAGAAUCAUUACCCUAAAAUGUUUUGGUACUUGAAAACUUAUUUUAGAAGGUGUAAUGUCUUUUCUAACUCAUUUACAACAACUAGUUAUCAAAAUUACAAAGAUUAAAUGUGAUUUUGAUUCUUGAAAGUGUUCAUAUUCAUAUUCUUGUUCUUAUGAUGUUUAGAUGAUCAUAGGAAUUAUUUGUAACCUAUGUGGUAGAUUAAUUCAUGAUCAUAAUGUGUUUUAAUGGAGUCCAUAACUUGUCCUCAAGUUAUGGAAAACCAAAAGUCUCUUGGAUUAAAAACCAUUAAAAGAACACAAGAGUUAGGAAAAAUGAAAAGUCCUCAUUUUAUUACUCUAUUAAACUCAUAAGUUACAAGAAAUGAAAAGUUUUGAAAGUUUACAAAACUUGCCCUCAAGUUUUGGAACAAGUAAAGUUAAGUUAAAACUUUAGUUCCAACCCCUAGAAUUUUAAAAGUUAAAAUUCAACCCUUAUACUUAUAUUAUUAUGAUUUAAUAAUUAUAUAUAUAUGUAUAAGAACAAAGUCGUCUUACCGCUAGUACGCCUCAUUCACGAAGCCGGUCUAUAAGGUGGGUAUAAGGUUGUUGCCUAUAAAAUGGUGACUUAAUGGGUGUCCACUCUCACCCACCGCUUGCUUGAUCGGUGGAGGGUCGUUAGCCGAACGGGUAAGACAAGGACUUAUUAAUUCUCAUUCAAAGUAUGAUGAAUAUUAUAAAGUAACUAAAUGUUUUAUUAAAUUCCCAAUCUUAGUUACUUUAGGAAAAAUGUGAAUAAGGUGCUAUUCCAUGAAAUUACACUUUACACUUUGAUUAAGUCGUUGGUGGAGCGUGUGUGGUUAACCGGCACACUAACUUGGACUUAACAAGGUAGGUAAAGGGUGACUUAGGGUUUAUUAUAGUAUCGAUGGAGCGUGUGUGGUUAACCGGCACAUCGAUUGAGUGAUAAACUUUAAGGGUACCAAGUGAUUUGCAUGGUUACUUCACACCUCGUUUUGUGAUCCUCGGUAUCCCAGUCACAAAACUUGGAGGGCACACUCGAGAUUGAAACAUGCCUUUGAAAAGUUCAUUGAAUCUCAAAGAAUCUAGGAAUUUCUAAGAACCAUUCAAAAACCUAAUACUAAAAUAUUGCGGUUUUCGUGGUGGAAAUUGGUGAAUCGUCAUUCACCUACCUUUCAAAUAUGAUAUAGCUUAGAUUACGGCAUACCUCUUCUAAGUUAUAUUAUAUUGUGAUUGGAUCCUAGCCUUAAUAUUACAUUUGGGUGUUUUAUUAAGGACUCUCUUAUAUCUAAACUAAUCUUGUCCUCUUUCCUUCAGAUGUCUUUCAACAAUGCUUCUGGCUCUAAUCCUAAUGGCUCCUUUACCCUUAUGAACUUGUGUGGGAAAGUCACCUUUGAUGGAUCCAACUUCAAUGAGUGGAUCAGAAACAUCAGGAUGAUUACCCGCUACGAGGACAAAGAAUAUGUCCUUGACAAGGAGCUUAAGGAGAUUGAUGAGUCCACUGCAACUCCUCAGGAGAUCGCUGAAUUUCGGGCACAUGAAAGGGAUGCUACGAAAGUGGCUUGCAUCAUGAUGGCCACGAUGACAGCGGAACUCCAAAAGUCUUAUGAGGAUUUCUACCCUUAUGAAAUGCACCAAGAUUUGAUGGAAAGAUACCAUCAAAGUGCAAGACAAGAGAGGUAUGAAAUCAUCUGCUCCAUGAUAACAACCAUGAUGAAGGACGGGGAAUCCGUCACGAGCCACAUGCAGAAAAUGCAAAGGUAUGUGGAUCGUUUGCUGAAGCUUAAUGUGAACUUCCCGGAGGAUCUUGCAAUAGAUAUUAUUUUGCAUUCCUUACCAUCGUGCUAUGAUCAAUUCCGCAUGACAUAUCACAUGAACAAGGAAGAAGUCACCCUCAGCAAACUUCAGGGACUUCUCAAGACCGCAGAAUCAGGUCUUAAGGGGAAGUCGGUUGCUAUCACUCCUACUCAAAACUCUACUCCGGUUUUGGCAAUCGGGAAAAGUCGAGGGAGGAAGAGAAAGAGCUCUUCUAAGGGUACCAAGGUUCGGACCCUUGAUGGCUCUUCUUCAAGUGGAACCAAGAAAGGUUUCAUUACUCCUUCUUCUGACCCAAAAGAGGCUGAAUGCUUCUAUUGCCAUGAAAAAGCUCAUUGGAAGCGGAACUGCCCAAAAUACCAGCAAGAUGUGAAGGAUGGGAAAGUUAAACCCAACCAUGCAGGUAUUUACACUAUCAUUUCUAAUAACUCACCCCAUUCUAAUUCUUGGGUCCUUGAUACCGGGUGUGGUAUUCACAUUUGUUGUGACUUGCAGGGACUAAGAAGAAGUGAGGAUGUGGAGCAAGGAAGGAUAAACUUGAUCAUGGGGAAUAGGAAAGCUAUACCUGUUACCAAGAUUGGAGUUUAUACUUUAUCGCUAAGUAGUGGGUUUAGUUUAGAUUUGAAUAAGUGUUGUUAUUCGCCAGGAAUGGCAAGAAAUAUUAUUUCCUUUCAUGCUUUGUACAAACAAGGGUUUACCUUUUCAUUUAAUAAUGAAGUUGGUUCUAUAGAUGUUUUCUAUAAUAAUGUCUUUUAUUUUAAAGCAUUACCUUGUGAUGGUGUGUAUGAAGCUGUAUCUGUUGUAGAUAACUUGGGAAAUAAUGUUUUGUGUAUUGAUUCUACUAAUAAUAACUUGGAUAAAGCAUCUUUAUGGCAUUGUCGUCUUGGACAUAUAAGCAAGAAACGCAUAGGCCAACUCCAAAAGGAUGGAGUCUUGGAGUCAUUUGACCUAAAGUCAGAUGAUAGUUGCGAAUCAUGCUUACUUGGAAAAAUGACAAAGUCACCCUUCACAGGUUCUUGUGAGAGGGGUGAAGGUUUGUUGGAUCUUGUACACACGGAUGUGUGUGGACCAUUCAAACAUGACACAAGGGAUGCUAAUCGUUAUUAUUUGACUUUUACUGAUGAUUAUAGUAGAUAUAGAUAUGUCUACUUAAUCAAGCAUAAGUCAGAGACUUUUGAAAGGUUUAAAGAAUUUAAAUAGGAAGUCGAGAAUCAAUUAGGCAGGAACAUUAAGAUGCUUCGAUCCGAUCGAGGUGGUGAGUAUCUUAGUUCAGAGUUCCUCGACUAUCUAAGGGAAUGUGGGAUAGUCUCACAAUUGACACCUCCCAGGACACCACAGCUGAAUGGUGUGACUGAGAGGCGUAAUCGAACCUUGUUGGAUAUGGUUCGUUCCAUGAUGAGUCGAGCUUCGCUACCAAUCUCAUUUUGGGGGUAUGCCUUAGAGACUGCCGCCCAUAUCCUUAAUCUAGUCCCUACAAAGAAAGUUGCCAAAACUCCUCAUGAGAUGUGGACUGGUAAAGUACCCAAACUAGACCACAUCAAGAUUUGGGGUUGCGAGGCUUUCGUGAGACGCGAGACUCAUGAUAAGCUCGAACCUCGAAGCGAGAGGUGUAUUUUCAUCAGCUACCCACAGCAAUCCUUUGGUUACCUCUUCUACAGACCUAGUGAAAAUGUGGUCUUUGUAGCUAGGAGGGUUGUCUUUCGAGAGAGAGAGAGAGUUUAUAAGCCAAGGAAACAGUUGUAGGCAAGUUGACCUUGAAGAAAUUCAAGAGUCAAGUGGUGAAGGAACUUCAAACCCUAGCACUCAACUUGAGGAGGAAACUCCUGUUGAGCCAAUUGACAAGACUGUGCCUCUGAGGCGUUCCACGAGAGUUAGGAAAGCACCUGAGCAUUACUAUGGAUUCCGUAUUACUGUGAAAGGUGAUACACUUAUCAGUGAUGAGACACUGAUAGGUCUGGAUGAACCUAAUAGUUACGUGGAAGCCAUGGCAGGCCCUGAGUCAGCCAAAUGGAAAGAGGAAAUGGACAGCGAGAUAUAGUCCAUGUAUGACAAUCAAGUUUGGAACUUGGUUGAGAAUGUACUAGGUCGUAAGACUGUAGGGUGCAAAUGGAUCUUUAAGAAGAAGACCAACAAGGAUGGUAAUGUACACACUUAUAAGGCAUGACUGGUUGCAAAGGGUUUCUCACAAACUUCGGGAGUUGAUUAUGAUGAGACCUUUUCUCCAGUGGCCAAGAUUAAGUCUAUUAGGGUUUUGUUAGCCAUAACUGCAUUUCAUGACUAUGAAAUAUGGCAAACGGAUGUCAAAACCGCUUUCCUUAAUGGAAAGUUGGCUGAAGAUGUUUACAUGAGUCAGCCAGAGGGUUUUGUCAGUAACGAGUACCCUAAUAGAGUGUGUAAGCUUGAGAAAUUCAUUUAUGGAUUAAAGUAAGCACCUCGCUGAUGGAAUCUUUGCUUUGAUGAGAAAGUCAAAGAAUUUGGCUUUUCUAGGAGUGAAGAUGAAUCUUGUGUACAUGUCAAGGCUACUGGGAGUUUAGCUAGCUUUUUGGUAUUGUAUGUGGAUGACAUACUACUCAUAGGAAAUGACAUCCCAACUCUGCAGGAAAUUAAGUCCUGGCUUGGGAAGUGUUUCUCUAUAAAGGACCUAGGGGAAGCUGCCUAGAUUCAAGGGAUAAGGAUCUUGAGAGACCGGAAUAAAAGACUAAUUGGACUUAGUCAUAGUACUUACUUGGAUAAGGUGAUGAAGAGAUUCGGCAUGCAGGACUCCAAGAAAGGAGAGUUACCCAUCCAGAGUAGCGCCAAAUUGAGUAAGACACAAAGCCUUAGUAUUGAGGCUGAGAUAGCAGAAAUGAGUCAAAUACCAUAUGCUUCGGCUGUAGGAUCGAUCCUGUAUGCUUUGACGUGUACUCAACCUGAUGUAGCAUUUGCCUUGAGCAUGGUUAGCAGGUAUCAGGGGAACCCUGGCAAGGCACACUAGAUUGCGGUAAAGAAUAUCGUCAAGUACCUACGGAGGACUAAGGACUGGGUCCUUACUCUCGGUGGGAGUGAUGACUUGAGAGUUGUAGGGUAUAGUGAUGCUAGCUUUCAGACUGAUAGGGAUAAUUUCCACUCUCAGUUAGGCUGGGUGUUUACCUUAAACGGAGGAGCAAUUUCUUGGAAGAGUUCCAAGCAAGAGACAAUGGAUGAUUCAACUUGCGAAUCAGAGUAUAUAGCAGCUAGCGAGGCAGCAAAGGAGGCGAUAUGGCUGAAGAACUUCAUUGGAGACCUUGGAGUUGUACCAAAUAUUAAGGAGGCAAUGGAAAUUUUCUGUGAUAGUGAAAGUGAAGUUCCCUUAGCCAAGGAACCAAGGGAUCACGGGAGAUCCAGACACAUCGACAGAAAAUACCAUUUCAUCAGAGAUUGAAUAGGAGAAGGACUCCUCGUGGCAAAGAGGGUAUCGUCGGAUGAGAAUCUAGCAGAUCCCCUCACGAAGGGACUGACUCGGGUUAAGCAUCUCCAGCAUGCUCAGAGCAUAGGGCUGAAGGAUGAUAUUAGAUUUAGUAGUUAGAUAACCUUGAAAUGUGUAAAGUGUAAUUGACAUUAGAUGAUGAAUAAAAGGUGUUUUAUUUAUGAGUAAAGUGUUGAUAUAUCCUGUCGAUUGUUUACUAUAUUUAAUUUUGCAUGUUUUGACUUCCAGAAUAAUUAUGUUUUGUAUAUCAUAUUAUUCGAACCUCCACAGUUGGUUAUAUGUCGGAAGUAGGUAUAUCA
rnacentral:lncRNA from 1 species